CUUCAUCGCUCUUCAUCACCUCCUCCGACCCCACACCCCUUCCUCUCUCUCUUCUCCCCAACCAUGGCUACUCCUCGCAGCGCCAAGAAGUCCGCCCGCAAGAGCGGCUCCAAGUCCGCGAAAUGUGGUCUGAUCUUCCCGGUGGGCCGCGUUGGCGGGAUGAUGCGCCACGGCCAGUACGCUCGCCGCAUCGGUGUCUCUGGCGCCGUGUACCUGACAGCCGUGCUGGAGUACCUGACAGCGGAGCUGCUGGAGCUGUCCGUGAAGGCGGCCGCGCAGAGCGGGAAGAAGCGGUGCCGCCUGAACCCGCGCACCGUGAUGCUGGCUGCGCGCCACGACGACGACAUCAGCUCGCUUCUGAAGAACGUGACCUUGUCUCACAGCGGCGUUGUGCCGAACAUCAGCAAGGCGAUGGCGAAGAAGAAGGGCGGCAAGAAGGGCAAGGCGACACCGAGCGCGUAAGUCCUCCGGCCUGACAGCGCGCGAGCCGCUGUAUGUGCGCGUGUGCGCGGCUUCCCACUGGGGCCAGCGAUGAGGCGCAUCAUACCUCCAUAGAGACCCUAUCUUUUGUUUUCUGGGCUUCCCAGAUGACCACUUGAUUCCUUCCUUCCUUUGAUUUGUUUCUCUCCUCCCCUCCGCAGAGGGUACGAGUCAGGGUAGGCUCGGAGAAAGCUUGCCGCAUCCACGAUGAGCCACGGCUGUCUCUCUCUCUCUCUUGACCGGGACAGGCUGUUGCCCAGUCACGCGUAUCGGCGUGCACACCCGCUCUUGCGCCCUGCCCCACUAUUCGUCGAAUGAUGCGCUACGCGCAUGACAGGCGCUGCUGCAGCGCUGCUCCCUGCGGUUGCUGAGUGCGUACAUGCCGUUGCUACUGAUGUGUUUGCACUGCAUCUCACCUCGCUCUCUUUGCGCAUGCGCUUGCCCUUCCUCCCUCCUCGCGACCGUGUCGGUCCUCUCGCGCCGCUGUGGCGCAG
rnacentral:misc_RNA from 1 species